rnacentral:rRNA from 1 species
GUGGGGAAUAUUGGACAAUGGGCGCAAGCCUGAUCCAGCCAUGCCGCGUGAGUGAUGAAGGCCUUAGGGUUGUAAAGCUCUUUCACCGGUGAAGAUAAUGACGGUAACCGGAGAAGAAGCCCCGGCUAACUUCGUGCCAGCAGCCGCGGUAAUACGAAGGGGGCUAGCGUUGUUCGGAAUUACUGGGCGUAAAGCGCACGUAGGCGGAUAUUUAAGUCAGGGGUGAAAUCCCAGAGCUCAACUCUGGAACUGCCUUUGAUACUGGGUAUCUCGAGUAUGGAAGAGGUAAGUGGAAUUCCGAGUGUAGAGGUGAAAUUCGUAGAUAUUCGGAGGAACACCAGUGGCGAAGGCGGCUUACUGGUCCAUUACUGACGCUGAGGUGCGAAAGCGUGGGGAGCAAAAAGGAUUAGAAACCCGGGUAGUCC